GAAACCCUUUAUUCCUGCUGCGGGUGCAGGGAGCAUGUUCUUGUCUUCUUCUCCUGCUGCUGGACCUAGGGAAGGGUGCCCUUUUGGAUUGCUUCACAGAAAAUACAGCUGGAAAAAAUGGAAAUCUCCCUUGCCUUAAGAAUCUGUGGUUGAAACAUGAAUAAGACUAGUUGAAGAGAGGCCCAAUAUCAACAAUGGGCAUAGGAUCUAAGAGGUUAAGUGAAAGUGAGAAGAAUACCCAUGCUUGGAAACUUCUUCGUUGCCUGUCAGCAUCUCCUUGGUAACUUCUACUCUUCUGCAGUGGCCUGGGUUCACUAAAGCUAAUGUAACUUGUGUAUCAUCAAGAAGCCAGUAUCUUUUACAGCAAGAUUUGAACUUGGUAUUCCUGACUCUGAGCCCCUUCUCUCUCUCCAUCAC